UACGUAGGGCGCAAGCGUUGUCCGGAAUUAUUGGGCGUAAAGAGCUCGUAGGCGGUUUGUCGCGUCUGUCGUGAAAGCUUGGGGCUUAACCCCAAGUCUGCGGUGGAUACGGGCAGACUAGAGGCAGGUAGGGGAGAACGGAAUUCCCGGUGUAGCGGUGAAAUGCGCAGAUAUCGGGAGGAACACCGGUGGCGAAAGCGGCACUCUGGGCCGGUACUGACGCUGAGGAGCGAAAGCGUGGGUAGCAAACAGG
rnacentral:rRNA from 1 species